rnacentral:lncRNA from 1 species
UAUUUAUUUGUGAGAAGGAGAGAGAGAGCGCGCGCACUUGUGAGCGAGCAAAAGAACACCAGCAGGGGGAGCAGCAGAGGGAGAGGGAGAAGUGGAUGCCCCGCUGAGCAGGGAGCCUGACGUGGGACUCCAUCCCAGGACCCCGGGAUCAUGACCAAAGGCAGAUGCUUAACGGACUGGGCCAUCUAGGUGAUUAUAUAUGCAUAAUGCGAGUGCGCAUGAGCAGGAGAGAGGCUCAAGGGAAGGGGGAGGAGCGACUUCCCGGCUGAGGAGGAAGCCCGUUGCCAGACUUGAUCCCCGGACCCCUAGGACCCCAGGAUCAUGACCUGAGGGGAAGGCAGAUGCUGAACCCACUGAACCACUCAGGCACCCAAAGGUGCCUACCCUGUGGCUGCUCUCUCGUUGAUGCUAUGAUACAGAAUUCCCUUCUAGAGUCCUUCCCUUCCAGAGUCCCUACGCUGGAUCUGCAUGGCUUAAGGUGCUGGGAUAUUGCAAGAACAAAACAAAAUCCUUGUUUUCAUGGAUGGAGCCCACAUUCUAAUUCACCAUUGCAUCCCCAAGACCUGGUGCAAUAAAUAUUUGCUGAAUGACUCUAUGAGUGACAUCAGCUUGAACUAUGUCAUUGCAAGCCUCACUUUCCUGUGGAAUGCAAUCACGAUGUGCUGUUGGAGCCUAAGAAUGUGAUUUUUCUGAUCUGUCCUGCCCUGUGGAUGCCUCUACCGGUAACUCACAGGAAUCAUCAAUAAAUUCUUAAAGGAGACUUGUUUUUAAAGCAGGCACCAGAGUUCUUCCUGCCAUGGAGAAGGCUGACAACAUGGGCCAGCGGUUCUGCCUUGAAAACAAGCAGCUGAUGGGUCUGUGAGUCACCCUGUGCCCCAGGAGAUUGCCUACUCCCCCGACAUCAGGUGCCCAGGGGCUCUUGGUGAUGUCAGAUGUUGCCAUCUGUGGUGGGUGGUGCUGGGUCAACUCAGGCGGUAGGAACAAUCUAGCAUCACUCUAAAAACAGGAAGGCUC